rnacentral:rRNA from 1 species
UNUUACCAGAAAGGGACGGCUAANUACGUGCCAGCAGCCGCGGUAAUACGUAGNUCCCGAGCGUUGUCCGGAUUUAUUGGGCGUAAAGCGAGCGCAGGCGGUUAGAUAANUCUGAAGUUAAAGGCUGUGGCUUAACCAUAGUACGCUUUGGAAACUGUUUAACUUGAGUGCAGAAGGGGAGAGUGGAAUUCCAUGUGUAGCGGUGAAAUGCGUAGAUAUAUGGAGGAACACCGGUGGCGAAAGCGGCUCUCUGGUCUGUAACUGACGCUGAGGCUCGAAAGCGUGGGGAGCGAACAGGAUUAGAUACCCUGGUAGUCCACGCCGUAAACGAUGAGUGCUAGGUGUUAGGCCCUUUCCGGGGCUUAGUGCCGCAGCUAACGCAUUAAGCACUCCGCCUGGGGAGUACGACCGCAAGGUUGAAACUCAAAGGAAUUGACGGGGGCCCGCACAAGCGGUGGAGCAUGUGGUUUAAUUCGAAGCAACGCGAAGAACCUUACCAGGUCUUGACAUCCCGAUGCCCGCUCUAGAGAUAGAGUUUUACUUCGGUACAUCGGUGACAGGUGGUGCAUGGUUGUCGUCAGCUCGUGUCGUGAGAUGUUGGGUUAAGUCCCGCAACGAGCGCAACCCUUAUUGUUAGUUGCCAUCAUUCAGUUGGGCACUCUAGCGAGACUGCCGGUAAUAAACCGGAGGAAGGUGGGGAUGACGUCAAAUCAUCAUGCCCCUUAUGACCUGGGCUACACACGUGCUACAAUGGCUGGUACAACGAGUCGCAAGUCGGUGACGGCAAGCUAAUCUCUUAAAGCCAGUCUCAGUUCGGAUUGUAGGCUGCAACUCGCCUACAUGAAGUCGGAAUCGCUAGUAAUCGCGGAUCAGCACGCCGCGGUGAAUACGUUCCCGGGCCUUGUACACACCGCCCGUCACACCACGAGAGUUUGUAACACCCGA